rnacentral:rRNA from 1 species
CCCUUAGAUGUUCUGGGCCGCACGCGCGCUACACUGACGAUGGCAACGAGUUUUUCCUUCGCCGAAAGGUGUGGGUAAUCUUUUGAAACAUCGUCGUGCUGGGGAUAGAUCAUUGCAAUUUUUGAUCUUGAACGAGGAAUUCCUAGUAAGCGCGAGUCAUCAGCUCGCGUUGAUUACGUCCCUGCCCUUUGUACACAUCGCCCGUCGCUACUACCGAUUGAAUGGUUUAGUGAGGACUCCUGAUUGGCGCCGCCGCCCCGGCAACGGAGCAGCGGACUGCCGAAAAGUUGUUCAAACUUGAUCAUUUAGAGGAAGUAAAAGUCGUAACA